GUUGUCUGAAAAAUUAGGGGGACUGUUGUCUGAAAAAUUAAGGGGACUGUUGUCUGAAAAAUUAAGGUUACUGUUGUCUGAAAAAUUAAGGGGACUGUUGUCUGAAAAAUUAAGGGGACUGUUGUCUGAAAAAUUAAGGUUACUGUUGUCUGAAAAAUUAAGGUUACUGUUGUCUGAAAAAUUAGGGGGACUGUUGUCUGAAAAAUUAGGGGGACUGUUGUCUGAAAAAUUAGGGGGACUGUUGUCUGAAAAAUUAGGGGGACUGUUGUCUGAAAAAUUAGGGGGACUGUUGUCUGAAAAAUUAGGGGGACUGUUGUCUGAAAAAUUAGGGGGACUGUUGUCUGAAUAAUUAGGGGGACUGUUGUCUGAAAAAUUAAGGUUACUGUUGUCUGAAAAAUUAGGGGGACUGUUGUCUGAAAAAUUAGGGUUACUGUUGUCUGAAAAAUUAGGGUUACUGUUGUCUGAAAAAUUAAGGUUACUGUUGUCUGAAAAAUUAGGGUUACUGUUGUCUGAAAAAUUAAGGUUACUGUUGUCUGAAAAAUUAAAAGAUGAAGAUGAAUAUUGGUCUGUCUGGUUAGUGAUUUUUAUUAAUUCAUGUAUAAACCUUUGAAGGAAUAUUAAUUAAGGGAACUCUUGCCGGAAAAUAAGAGAAAAGAUGAAAAAAAAGUGAAAUAUGAACUUGCCAUUGUUGAAAAAAAGAUGAAAGGAAAAUAAAUAAAGAAGGAAAUAAGUAUAAAAAAGAAAAAAAUAAUGAGAAAAGAUGAAAAAAAGGCGAAAUAUUAACUUGUCCUUAAAAAAAACGAUGAAAGGAGAAGAAAUAAAAAAGGAAAUGCGUGAAAAAAAAGAAAAACAAAGACAAAAUAUGAAAAAAAGGCGAAAUGUUAACUUGUCCUCCUUAAAAAAUGAAAGGAAAAGAAAUAAAGAAGGAAAUAUGUAAAAAAGAAAAAUAAUGAGAAAAUAUGAAAAAAGGCGAAAUAUUAACUUGUCCUCCUUAAAAAAGAUGGAAAGAAAAGAAAUAAAGAAGAUAAAGAAAAAUAAAGAUGG